rnacentral:rRNA from 1 species
UUUAACAUGAGAGUUUGAUCCUGGCUCAGGAUGAACGCUGGCGGCGUGCCUAACACAUGCAAGUCGAACGAAGUUUUGAUGGAUGCGGCUUCGGCCAAUGAAAUCACAACUUAGUGGCGGACGGGUGAGUAACGCGUGGGUAACCUGCCUUACACAGGGGGAUAACAGUUAGAAAUGACUGCUAAUACCGCAUAAGCGCACAGCUUCGCAUGAAGCAGUGUGAAAAACUGAGGUGGUGUAAGA